AUCCCGCAGCAAUGCGGGAUGAUGGCGACCGGCAAACGGGUGCGGAACACGUACAGAACCUUCCUUCGAGCGGGGAAUAGCCCAGAGAAAUUUGGAUUAAUACCCCAUAGUAUAACGGAGUGGCAUCACUUUGUUAUUGAAGAUUUAUCACUUGAAGAUGGCUGUGCGGCUGAUUAGGUAGUUGGCGGGGUAACGGCCCACCAAGCCUGCGAUCAGUAACUGGUGUGAGAGCACGACCAGUCACACGGGCACUGAGACACGGGCCCGACUCCUACGGGAGGCAGCAGUAAGGAAUAUUGGUCAAUGGACGAAAGUCUGAACCAGCCAUGCCGCGUGGAGGAUGAAGGUCCUCUGGAUUGUAAACUUCUUUUAUAUGGGACGAAAAAAGGCUUUUCUAAGUCGUCUGACGGUACCAUAUGAAUAAGCACCGGCUAACUCCGUGCCAGCAGCCGCGGUAAUACGGAGGGUGCAAGCGUUAUCCGGAUUCACUGGGUUUAAAGGGUGCGUAGGUGGGACUGUAAGUCCGUGGUGAAAUCUCCGAGCUUAACUUGGAAACUGCCAUGGAUACUAUAGUUCUUGAAUACUGUGGAGGUCAGCGGAAUAUGUCAUGUAGCGGUGAAAUGCUUAGAUAUGACAUAGAACACCAAUUGCGAAGGCAGCUGGCUACACAAAUAUUGACACUGAGGCACGAAAGCGUGGGGAUCAAACAGGAUUAGAUACCCUGGUAGUCCACGCCCUAAACUAUGGAUACUCGACAUACGCGAUACACGGUGUGUGUCU
rnacentral:rRNA from 1 species